rnacentral:rRNA from 1 species
UCCAAUUGUUUUAUGCUUGCAUAAAUGAUUUUUGGAUUCGGAGCGAGUGGCGAACUGGUGAGUAACACGUGGGUAACCUGCCCCGAAGCGGGGGAUAACAUUUGGAAACAAGUGCUAAUACCGCAUAAUUAGUUGGAACCGCAUGGUUCCAACUUGAAAGAUGGCUCUGCUAUCACUUUGGGAUGGACCCGCGCCGUAUUAGUUAGUUGGUGAGAUAAAAGCCCACCAAGACGAUGAUACGUAGCCGACCUGAGAGGGUAAUCGGCCACAUUGGGACUGAGACACGGCCCAGACUCCUACGGGAGGCAGCAGUAGGGAAUCUUCCACAAUGGACGAAAGUCUGAUGGAGCAACGCCGCGUGAGUGAUGAAGGUUUUCGGAUCGUAAAACUCUGUUGUUAAAGAAGAACAAGUGUUAGAGUAACUGUUAACACUUUGACGGUAUUUAACCAGAAAGCCACGGCUAACUACGUGCCAGCAGCCGCGGUAAUACGUAGGUGGCAAGCGUUGUCCGGAUUUAUUGGGCGUAAAGCGAGCGCAGGCGGUUUUGUAAGUCUGCUGUGAAAGCCCUCAGCUCAACUGAGGAAGUGCAGUGGAAACUACAAAACUUGAGUACAGAAGAGGAAAGUGGAACUCCAUGUGUAGCGGUGAAAUGCGUAGAUAUAUGGAAGAACACCAGUGGCGAAGGCGGCUUUCUGGUCUGUUACUGACGCUGAGGCUCGAAAGCAUGGGUAGCGAACAGGAUUAGAUACCCUGGUAGUCCAUGCCGUAAACGAUGAAUACUAGGUGUUGGAGGGUUUCCGCCCUUCAGUGCCGCAGCUAACGCAUUAAGUAUUCCGCCUGGGGAGUACGACCGCAAGGUUGAAACUCAAAGGAAUUGACGGGGGCCCGCACAAGUGGUGGAGCAUGUGGUUUAAUUCGAUGCUACGCGAAGAACCUUACCAGCUCUUGACAUCUUCUGCCAACCCAAGAGAUUGGGCGUUCCCUUCGGGACAGAUGACAGGUGGUGCAUGGGUUGUCGUCAGCUCGUGUCGGGAGAUGUUGGGUUAAGUCCCGCACAAGCGCACCUUAUUAUUUUAAUUGCACCAUUAAUGGCCCUUUUAGGGGAAACUGCGGGAAACGGAGGAGGGGGGACAA